ensembl:snRNA U6 U6 spliceosomal RNA
GUGCUUGUAUCAACAGCGCAUAUACUAAAAUUAGAAUGAUAUAGAGAAGAUUAGCGCGGCCCCUGCACAAGGAUGACAACAAAUUCAUGAAGCAUUCUGCAUUUUU